rnacentral:rRNA from 1 species
ACAUUGAAACAUCGGUUCCCGUGCGAUCACCGAAGUUAAGCAACGUCGAGCCUGGUCAGUACCUAAAUGGGUGACCGCUUGGAGAUAUUGGUGCUGUAAG